GUGCUUGCUUCGGCACCACAUAUACUAGAAUUGGAAAGAUACAGAGAAGAUUAGCAUGGCCCCUGUGCAAGGAUGACAUGCAAAUUCUUGAAGUGUUCCAUAUUUUU